rnacentral:rRNA from 1 species
UUUAACAAAACUAACAGCUCUUUCAAGAUUAUGUGGUAGGUGGUGCAUGGCCGUUCUUAGUUCGUGAAGUGAUUCGUUCGCCCAAUCGCAUUUCCAAACAACUAACAACUCAGAAUGCUGGGCAAUAGGACGUUUAAAGUGGCUCCUUACACCUUACAAAGGAAUGGCUGAUGAGAAACAACUCGAUCCGCUCAGCGUUCUAUUGGAAUGCAACGGACGUGAUUGCAAGCUUUUGUUUUGAGUUGCGGUUUUACUGAAAGACUCUACAAUCCGCAAACUUCAAUGAUCUGAAGUAGAAAACCUACAUGCUACAGUGAGAUAUUGUGGAUAAACUUAAGCGACCGCUCCAACAUUGUGUUUUUUUAAAACUGAUGAAGGUUGCGGCAAUAACAGGUCUGUGAUGC